rnacentral:rRNA from 1 species
UACAGAGGUCUCAAGCGUUGUUCGGAUUCAUUGGGCGUAAAGGGUGCGUAGGCGGCGCGGUAAGUCGGGUGUGAAUCUCGGGGCUUAACUCGAAACUGCAUUCGAUACUGCCGUGCUUGAGGACUGGAGAGGAGACGUGAAUUUACGGUGUAGCGGUGAAAUGCGUAGAUAUCGUGAAGGAAGACCAGUGGCGAAGGCGGGAUCUCUGGACAGUUCCUGACGCUGAGGCACGAAGGUCAGGGAGCAAACGGG